rnacentral:rRNA from 1 species
GCCCCACGCCUAGCUCACCAACCAAUAGAAUGUAAAUAACUCUAACAAGCCACCAACAAAACAUUUAAUCGGUUUAGUAGAGGUGAUUAAAAAACUACUUUGAAGCUUCAGGCAACAGUACCGUAAGGGACACCUGAAAUAGAAAUGAAAUAAAAAUAAAGCACACUAAAGCAGAGAUUAACCCUCGUACCUUUUGCAUCAUGGUCUAGCUAGUCCAAUCAAGCAAAAUGCUAUUGCAGUUUGACUCCCCGAAACUAAGUGAGCUACCUCAGAACAGCCUUCUAGGGCCAACCCAUCUCUGUUGCAAAAGAGUGGGAAGAUUCUCAAGUAGCGGCGAAAAACCUAUCGAACUUAGAGAUAGCUGGUUAUUCAAGAAAUGGAUCUAAGUCCAACCUAAAGCAUCUGCAUAAACUACUAACUAUCUGCUUUAGAGCCAUUCAAAUAAGGAACAGCUUAUUUGAACCAGGACACAACCUAUCCCACAGGGUAAUGAAAUAUACUAACAAGCCAAGUAGGCCUAAAAGCAGCCACCUUUAAAAAAGCGUUAAAGCUUAUCUACAUUUAAUAAUUAAUCCCCACAACUAAUCAAAACCCUUCACCAAUAUUGAAUGACUCCAUACCAAUAUGGAAAUCCUAAUGCUAGAACAAGUAACAAGAAGAAGACCUUCUCUAAAAUGCAAGUGUCACCCAAAAUGAACAAAUCAUCGGGAUUCACCGCUAAUGAACUAAUAGCAACAACAUUCCUCGAAAACCCUGCUAGACAAAACGUUAACCUUACACAAGAGCAUUUCCAGAAAGAUUAAAAAAGUUGGAAGGAACUCGGCAAAUAUUAGCCCCGCCUGUUUACCAAAAACAUCGCCUCUUGACUACCACACUAUAAGAGGUCCAGCCUGCCCGGUGAUUAAUUAAACGGCCGCGGUACCCUAACCGUGCGAAGGUAGCGUAAUCACUUGUCUAUUAAAUACAGACCAGUAUGAAUGGCAUCACGAGGGUUAUACUGUCUCCCAACUUCAAUCAGUUAAACUGAUCUCCCCGUGAAGAAGCGGGGAUCCCGUUACAAGACGAGAAGACCCCAUGAAGCUUUAAACUAAAAGUCAACUGCUAAACCAAAUACCAUUCAAACAGCAGCUAUGACCCAAAAGUUUUCGGUUGGGGCGACCACGGAGUACCACAAAACCUCCGCGAUGAACGAACCUUAAAUUCUUACCCAAGAGCCACACCCCAAAGGAUCAUAAUUAUGACAUCUCUUGACCCAAACCACUUGAUCAACGAACCUAGUUACCCUGGGGAUAACAGCGCAAUCCAUUUCGAGAGUCCCUAUCGACAAAUGGGUUUACGACCUCGAUGUUGGAUCAGGGUAUCCAAGUGGUGCAACCGCUACUAAAGGUUCGUUUGUUCAACGAUUAAAACCCU